ACUUAGGUUUUACUUAAAACCACCUAACAGUACUACUAUUAUUUCU
rfam:Ictidomys tridecemlineatus contig035654, whole genome shotgun sequence.